rnacentral:rRNA from 1 species
UGGGGAAUAUUGGACAAUGGGGGCAACCCUGAUCCAGCAAUGCCGCGUGUGUGAAGAAGGUCUUCGGAUUGUAAAGCACUUUCGACGGGGACGAUGACGACGGUACCCGUAGAAGAAGCCCCGGCUAACUUCGUGCCAGCAGCCGCGGUAAUACGAAGGGGGCUAGCGUUGCUCGGAAUGACUGGGCGUAAAGGGCGUGUAGGCGGUUUACACAGUCAGAUGUGAAAUCCCCGGGCUUAACCUGGGAGCUGCAUUUGAUACGUGUAGACUAGAGUGUGAGAGAGGGUUGUGGAAUUCCCAGUGUAGAGGUGAAAUUCGUAGAUAUUGGGAAGAACACCGGUGGCGAAGGCGGCAACCUGGCUCAUGACUGACGCUGAGGCGCGAAAGCGUGGGGAGCAAACAGGAUUAGAUACCCUGGUAGUCCACGCUGUAAACGAUGUGUGCUAGAUGUUGGGUAACUUUGCUAUUCAGUGUCGCAGUUAACGCGUUAAGCACACCGCCUGGGGAGUACGGGCCGCAAGGUUGA